GGAGUGAACGCUGGCGGCAGGCCUAACACAUGCAAGUCGAGCGGCAGCGCGGGGGGCAACCCUGGCGGCGAGCGGCGGACGGGUGAGGAAUACAUCGGAAUCUGCCUUGUUGUGGGGGGAUAACGUAGGGAAACUUACGCUAAUACCGCAUAAGACCUGAGGGUGAAAGCGGGGGACCGCAAGGCCUCGCGCGACAAGAUGAGCCGAUGUCCGAUUAGCUAGUUGGUGAGGUAAAGGCUCACCGAAGGCGACGAGUCGGUAGCUGGUCUGGAGAGGAUGAUCGACGCCACACGUGAACUGACGACCACGGUCCAGACCUCCGUACGGGAGGCAGCGAGGUAGGGAAUAGUUACGGAACGUAAGU
rnacentral:rRNA from 1 species